UACGAAGGGGGCUAGCGUUGUUCGGAUUUACUGGGCGUAAAGAGCACGUAGGCGGAUCGUUAAGUCGGGGGUGAAAUCCUGGAGCUCAACUCCAGAACUGCCUUCGAUACUGGCGAUCUUGAGUCCGGAAGAGGUGAGUGGAACUCCUAGUGUAGAGGUGGAAUUCGUAGAUAUUAGGAAGAACACCAGUGGCGAAGGCAGCUCGCUACACUAUCAUUGACGCUGAGGCACGAAAGCGUGGGGAUCAAACAGG
rnacentral:rRNA from 1 species